rnacentral:rRNA from 1 species
AUUGAACGCUGGCGGCAUGCCUAACACAUGCAAGUCGAACGCGCGGCGGACGUGUGAGUAAUGUCUGGGAAACUGCCUUAUGGAGGGGGAUAACUCCUGGAAACGGUAGCUAAUACCGCAUACCAUCCGAUGUUCCCAGAUGGGAUUAGCUAGUAGGUGGGGUAACGGCUCACCUAGGCGACGAUCCCUAGCUGGUCUGAGAGGAUGACCGGCCACACUGGAACUGAGACACGGUCCAGACUCCUACGGGAGGCAGCAGUGGGGAAUAUUGCACAAUGGGCGAAAGCCUGAUGCAGCCAUGCCGCGUGAGUGAAGAAGGCCUUCGGGUUGUAAAGUACUGUCAGCGGGGAGGCGGUACCCAAAGAGGAAGCACCGGCUAACUCCGUGCCAGCCGCCGCGGUAAUAC